GAGAGAGGGAGAGAGAGAGAGAGAGAGGAGAGAGAGGCUGUGUGUUGAGAGGGCACUGAGACCCCAUUCCCGAAGGUGAUUGGUCGCAGAAGGAGGGGCCGGCGGAGGAGCGGGUCCCGCCGCGGGGCUGCAGGAAUCGCUAGCUCUGGCUGCCACCUAGCGGACGGGAGCCGAUCCCGGGAGGCACGCAGCCCAGUCCCUCCCCUCCCCAGGCAGCCUGUGCCUUUUCUCCAAACGAAGACAGCACUUUGAAAAUUCUUUCAAUGGAUUUUUUUUUUUCCUUGAAAGAUCGUACUGGGGGAAAACGAUACUUCUAUUAGUUACAUAUUCUCCAAUCCCACACUCGCACCCCCCUUCGUUUUAAGAUCGCUCCCCUAGGCAGACUCAGGCGCGAGCGGAGCGGCGGAGUGACAAAGCCGCUGCCGCCGCCGGGAGUGGGAGUCGCUCUUGCCAGCCCACCCCUUGACUCCAGAAAGCGUAAAAGUUUGUCUCUACUCGAGCGUUCCGAGCUCCAACACGCCCUCAGGUAAAGGUGGAAGUAAAUGGCCAUGCUGUAUUGACAGAGAGGGCAGAAGAAGCUGUGGGAUCCCCUGGAACUGGUGUUAUGGACAGUUGUUAGCUGCCAGGUGGCUGAUGGGAUAUGAACCUGGUCUUCUGCAAGAACAGUCGGUGUUCUUAACCGCUGAACUGUGUCUCCAGCCCUGUGGUGAAUAUUUGUAACAGAAGAAAUUUUCCACACUGGUUAAUUUUUCCCCAUGUUGCUCCAAAAGGUGGCAGUGGACUUGCAUCACAGGUUUUAGCAGAUGUUUUCAAUAGUUCAUUGAAUGCUCCUCAUCUGUGCCUGCAAGAGGCGCCCCAGAGCUUCAUCUCCAUGGUAGCUUUGGCAAGAAAAUUGAUCAAACAGCAAGUUCAUUUCCAGUGUUGAAAAGCACGUGGUACUCAUCACUACUGAGGAUUUCUACAAAGCUGUAAUGUCUAUCUUGCUCAGUUUAGGUAGCCCAGACUAACUAGGAAGUAGUGACCCCCUUGCCUCAAAUUCUGUAUGCUGGCAACACAGUGCGUGCGAGAUCCCUCCUGACUGGACAUCCCUAAAAGAAAAAAAGUAAACCCUGAAGGACAAAAAUUUCCUUGAUGUUUGGACAGUCAUUUGGCAUUCCUUUCUGUUUCUUGAGUUUUUGGCACUGAACACUACUGUAGCUGUGACAUUGCUGUCAUUUGUUCUGCUGAUCAAGCUUAGGGCCCUCAAGCAUGCUAGGUGAGCGCUCUGACCCUGCACUACAUUCCUUCCCUAUCUAGAAAUGUGUUUUUAAAAUAGGAUGUGAAAUUCAAGCCAAUUAUUCAUCUGCUACCCAAGAAAAAGAAUUUGUGAUUGUAAGAGAGAAUAUGUCCAUUUUCAACAUGCU